UGCAUAUGAUGAUUAAUUUGCAUAUGAUGAUUACUUUUGUAUCCUUGCUUGCAAGUAACUUGAUCUCCCUGUCUCACUUACUCCAGCUUUGUGCUGCCAUGGCUUUGCCUUCCUCAGCUCCUUUUGGUUGUCCAUGAUUCCCCAGGAACUGGUCUUCACCCAUACCUGCUCACAGCUGUGAGCACACCUGUGGGCUCAAGGACCCUGAUUGUUACAGGGUAAUGUUUGUGUGCACAUGUCUGCGUGUUGUCAUCUCGGGUUAUGUGUGUGUCACCUCUCCAGCCACAAAAGAAGUCCCUGUUGCAUGAUACUGCAGUUUGUCUGCUUAUCUUGGGAAAAGUUUCUGUGGUUUUCAGUGCCAACCACUGAGGCAAAGACACGAAUCAGUGCUCUUGCCUGAUUGACACUCAGACAGCUGCCAAGAAUACUUGGAAUUCACUAUAAAAUAACAGAGUGGCUCCCUUGCCAUCAUGUCAGUGUCAUUUUGCAACUGCAGGAAAUGAGGUUUGCCAAGAAAGGCCAAAUGGACCUUGAAGUCAAGUACCAGGCUGCAUAGUGCUUCUUGCCACAAGCAUUUCCAAGAAGAGAUCAUCUUCCAGGCAUGUAACAGCCAUGGCUAGUGACUCUGGAAGCUUAUCCCAGCAGUGUCAUUACCCUGAACAUACUAUUGAUGGGCACUGGAAUCAAACUCUUUAAAUCUGUGCUGUGCAGAAAUGACUUGUCACCUAGGAGAGGGAGGUAUUGAAUUCUGUAUGCUUCAAGGGAGUUUAUCUGGAAAUGAAAAAAUAUUUUUACCCCUGAAAAGUUUCCUUAUUUAAUCACUGGUUUCUUUGGAGUGCCAGACAGCUGAAAGGGAAGGGAAUAAAACUGAUUGGGAGUUGACAAAUGCCUCUGAAGACAGUUAUCUGGUGCCUGUGUCUGUUAGCAGGAAGGGCUGCUGUAGCUCUAGGGGGGUUUUACAGUGUUUCAGAGUGCAGACUCUUUGCCAGCUAUUCUAAUAUUUAGGCUCUGUUUGAGCUUCUUUGUCCCUGCCUGUCCUGUAAUAACAAGGACAAAUGGGAGAUGGAAGCUUUACACUGUCCUCCUGUGGUUCUGCAGAGCUGCUGUGGAAAGGCCAGACAUCUGAAUAUUCCAAAGCAAGGCCAAUAAUUGCAUGAGGCAUUAGAAUGGCAAAUACUGCAGCCAGCCAGGGCAGCCCAUUGCUAUUGACAGUUGUCACAGGGCGAGUCUUCCCAGCUUCAGGAGGGGACUGAGCAGUUGCAGAAUGGAUUGCUGAGUGCUCUAUUAAAAGCUUCUAGGAAAAUGACGUCAGGAGUCGUCAGCAAUUAAUCUGGAACAUCGAUUCCAAGAAUAAUGUUUAUCUGAAAAAUAGUGAAUCAAAUCCUACAGUUCUAGCUGGGCCUACUAUGAGUAAAUUAGAUCAGUUUAUUUUUGUAUGAGUCAUUAAUCAUAUUGCAGUCAUCACUGUGGUUAUCUGAAAGUAUUUUAAUUUAAUCAAAAUGCAGUUGAAACUCAUAUAAACAAAUUUGGCCUAAGAUGGGCAGCCACACACACAGAGCAGUCUUUCCCAGUGUGGGAUAAGGAAUUAAACACCAAAACAGAUCUUUCUACAGAGAUCUGACUAUGGAUUUUUGCAUUACUAGAUUUUCAGCAUGCACUUUCCAACACUUUGCUUUCUGUACUGACUUCCAGAUAAAAGAGAACAAUGUGCUGUGCUCUGAAGCUUUUGUCAUGGUGUUCAAGCUUGUACAGGCCAUCUGCUGUGGAGUAAUGUAGCUGCUACAGUACAUUGCUUUCCUAACAUAUGUGUAACCUGACAGCUGGUGAGUGUGAGCCCUCUGGAUUCAGCAGGAAUUCGCUCGGAUGUGUAGUUACUCUGUGUACAUAAAACCUUGUGUAAAACAAUACCAACUCCUAGGUCACAGACCACAAAAGCCUUGUAGCUGGCACAGAUACAGGUAGCUUCUGCCCCAAACUUUUGCUUGGAGCAGAGGAAUGGAUUCCAGGAUGAAUUCAGACCCUGAUGCUCAGAGCUUUGUCCAGCCAGAAUCUGAAAACCUUCAAAGAUCCCACAGCCUCUUCUGGCUCCUGCUAUAGUGCAUAAUUAUUCUAAUU